UACGUAGGGUGCAAGCGUUGUCCGGAAUUAUUGGGCGUAAAGAGCUCGUAGGCGGUUUGUCGCGUCUGCUGUGAAAACGCGAGGCUCAACCUCGGGCCUGCAGUGGGUACGGGCAGACUAGAGUGCGGUAGGGGAGAUUGGAAUUCCUGGUGUAGCGGUGGAAUGCGCAGAUAUCAGGAGGAACACCGAUGGCGAAGGCAGAUCUCUGGGCCGUAACUGACGCUGAGGAGCGAAAGCGUGGGGAGCGAACAGG
rnacentral:rRNA from 1 species